GUUCUGCUGCUGAUAAAGAACUCUGAAAUGGGAGAAAUUGAAAAUAAAAACAACGUUACUCGGUUCAAGUGGGACAUUGUAAAUCAAGGAUACAAGAUAUGCAUCUUUGAGCACGUUUUCUUUCAAAAAGAGAAGAAACAUCAAAAACCUCAGUUGAUUUAAGGCAUUCUAACUGAGCAAUUGUGGUGAUAAUGGAUGCAUCCCUGCGGGUUAUUUCCAACUCAAGCCAUCUAAUCCAGGCAAGAACUACCUUAUGGACAGAUUGAAUUGUGUGGCAGCCUUUGAGAGCCUGAUCACAUGCUGAAUUUAUUUAGCUAAUUUUAAAUUCAAGAUUCUGUGAACGAUUAUUGUAAACAUCAAGAUAGUUGAAAGUUUUAUGUUUCUCGUGCUUUCACAAAUCAAAAGCCGUAAAAUUACAGUCUAUGCACCAAAGCUGUUUUUUCCUAAAAGAGGGGCAGAAACAUUGAAAAGAAAAGAGAAAACAUUUUAUGCUGAAUAAUUUUCCGACACUUACUUGUUUUCAAUAGCUCUUGCCUGAGAGGAUUCUACUACUUUCAAAAGGCGUAAGGCAACAUGGUUAGUGACUAAUUGUUCACAUUUCUUCCUUGAAAGGGUUGAAUUCAACCUACAGACAUGGCAUGCUACUUUAUUUCUGCCAUUAGGCCAAGUUAAAUCCUUAAAAUCAAUUGACAUGUAAAUGUACAAUAAAGCACUGUGAGUAUUUGGAGGAAUGUAGCACCUUGGUCAUUAAAAAUGUCACCUAAGUCAUCACUUUUAGUUAUAUUACCUUAAAAUAGCUAAGACAGUAUAGGCUGCCAGAAAGCCAGCCACAAACGACGACAUCAUCGAAUACGAUAUUCGUUAAGAUAAGACGACUGAAGCCUAGCGUCCAGUAGUCGUAAUACCUACGAACAUAGGUAUAACACUAGCCUCCGCCAGAUGGAACAUGGCUUCUAUCCUCAACACUUUGGUUGUUACAGCAUUUGUAAUGCUAGGGCACUCCUAGUUCAUUAUUGCGCUAUACUACUACUAUUAUUGCGCUGCAUUUUGGCAAAAGCUCGAAACAAACUUUGAUUACCGACUGAUGGUAUAGGCACCUUCUUUUCACUCUCAGCUUUCCUGUAUUCAAAAGUGCCCUGAUUGUUGCGAUGCGUGAUUGUGACCAUAAUCACAACUGUAAAGAGCCUCAGGAAAAAGCACCAAUCUUUUUUUUAAAGAAGAGACAACCUCUCUCACUGAUGUUCUCGAGAAUACUGGCAUUUGAUGGCGGAUGUAAAUUAGCCCCAGGAUUCUACUGAUCGAGGAGAAGGAGCUCAAAUAACCCAAAGAUGAAAUAACCUAGCCAAAAGCUAGGUUCAGAAAUCAAAUUGUAAUUUUCUCUUUGUGCUUCGUUGGCAAAGGCAGAGUGAGGUCGAUUGAAUUUGAUUCAGCGCUGUAACGAUUCGUCUUUAUUCCAUUUUACUUUUCUCGUUAUCCCUACAUUUACUUUGACACGAGUAAUUGAAAUUUCAUUCGUCCUCGUAUUCUCUGAAGUCAUCGAGGAAGUCUUUGAGGUAGACUACGUCGCGAGAGAACCGCAUGGAAAAGAGACCAAACUUGAUGAAUUUAUUCAAAAGAAAAUUUAUUCAGAAAAAAACCCAAAUCAUCGUACGGCAAACCUAAAAAAGAAAAGAAACCUGACUCGUCCUACGGUAGAAAAUAGAACUUCGGUUCAGCUGCAAGAUGUUUUUUUUGGUGGGGUUUUUUAAAGACCGAGUCCUGUUGAUGAUUGACCUGUUUUGUUAUACGCUGGAUAACAAAUUGUAUUAGAAUUUUCUUAACUUCUUGUUAAGCAAGAAUUUGCGUCCUGGCCAUUGCGAUGGUGUAGUUUUCUUGUACGAAUGCUUGGUGGUUUUUCAAAAUUCCAAACAUGUUGGUGCUAUCCUAGCCGAUGAAAUGGGAUUGGGUCAAACACUGCAAUGCAUCACACUCAUAUGGAUUCUUCUCAGCAAGGCCCUUACAAUGGACGUCCAACCAUUCAGCGUGUUUUAAUCAUUACGCCAUCAAGCCUAGUAAAAAAAUGGGAAAAGGAAUUUCGUUGUUGGUUAGGCAGAGAAAGGAUAUACGUUUUUACUGCAGAUCAAUAAACUAAGCCAAUAGAAUUCUUGAAACGCCCGCUUUGUCCAGUCAUGAUGGUUUCUUACAAAAUGCUAGUCCGCUGCUUUGACGAAGUAGGCCUACAACCAUUUAAUUUCGAUCUUGUAGUCUGCGAUAAAGUACAUCGACUGAAGAAUGCUGCCAAUAAAACGUCGUCAUUGUUGUCACCACUAAACACGAACAGAAAAGUGCUAUUGACUGGAACCCCUGUACAGAAUGAUUUGAAAGAGUUUUUCACGUUAGCCGAUUUCGUCAAUUCUUGCAUUUUAGGAAGCCUUUCCGCAUUCCGGCGAAUCUUUGAAGAGCCAAUCGUCGCGCUUCAGCAACCUGAGUGCGAUGAAGAUACAAGAGAAAUAGGUGAAGGCUGUGCAUCUGAGCUAGCUCACCUAAUAUCACAGUUCGUUCUACGUCGUACACAGGAAGUCAUGAACGCUCAUCUUCCUCCAAGAGUCGAGAGCGUCAUCUUUUGUAAACCAAUAUAUAUUCAAGUAACGGAUUUUAUCCAAAUUAAACAUUUAAAUCGUCUAUUUUGUGCUUAAAGAU